GACGUAGGGCGCGAGCGUUGUCCGGAUUUAUUGGGCGUAAAGAGCUCGUAGGCGGCUUGUCGCGUCGACUGUGAAAUCCCGCGGCUCAACUGCGGGUCUGCAGUCGAUACGGGCAGGCUAGAGUUCGGUAGGGGAGACUGUAAUUCCUGGUGUAGCGGUGAAAUGCGCAGAUAUCAGGAGGAACACCGAUGGCGAAGGCAGGUCUCUGGGCCGAUACUGACGCUGAGGAGCGAAAGCGUGGGGAGCGAACAGG
rnacentral:rRNA from 1 species